UAAAACUUACCACUUAUAGCUUUUGCAUUUUUAUAUAGAAAUUUCUGAAAAUAGGGACGCCUGGGUGGCUUAGUGGUUGAGUCUCUGCCUCCGGCUUGGGGCGUGAUCCUUGGGUCCUGCAUCGGGUUCCCUGUGGGGAGCCUGCUUUUCCCUUUGCCUGUGUGUCUCUGCUCCUCUGUCUCUGUCUGUGUCUUCCAUGAAUGAAUGAAUGAAUGAAUGAAUUUCUGAAAAUAUAAGUCUGCAAAUGCUAGAAUUUAGUAAUUAACAAGAUUGUUUUUGUCUGAGAGUAAUUAUGUGACAUUCAAUGAUGACCAAAGAUAUUUGUUGUCAUUAGGUCAAUGUCAGAUCAAAAGAACCCCAACCCCAUGAAGCUCAGCAAUCUGGUUCAUGCUGCUUGAAGAUUAUAUGACUCAGGCAGAGCAGAUGCACUCAACAACUCCAGGGGGCACCUUUUGCAUUCCAGGCACUGCUUCCUUGCGGAGAUUGCUGGCACAUGACGCCUCGCCUCAUGAAAACUGACCAGCUGCAGAGUGUUGUGUUUCAUCCACACCAAACUUUCGAGCAACCAUUGAUGUCAUCUGCUUCCUGGAGAAAAGAGAAAAGAAAAAGACUUCAAACAUUUAAAAACACACCUCUGAAUUACUGGCAAGUAAAUGAUACUGUUUCUUGUUUUGUUUUGUUUUGUUUUCAUGUAGAUAAGACUUGUCAAAAUAUGGAAAACACUCUCGGGAAAAUUAAGAAUCCUGGGUCUUUGUGACCUUGAGCAAGUAACCAGCUUUUUCUAGGCCUUAGUUUUCUCAUUUCUAAGUCAGGAAAGUUUGCCUCUCCAUGAAUCCUAGCCCUAACCACCCAUGACUCUUUUGGUGGCAACAUAGUGAAGUUGGGAACAUAGAUUGACAGCCAGAUUACACACUACGAAAACUGGCCUGAUGCUUUCCAGCUAUGUGCCAUUGGGCAUAUUACUUAUUCUCUCUGUGCCUCAGUUUCCUUAUCUGAAAAUUGGGCUGCCUCAUGCUGUGAUUCUGAGGAUUACAUGAUAUAAUCCACAUAAACUGCUGAGAACAGUGCCUGGCACACAGAAAGAGCUUGACAAAUGUUAGCUAUUAUUUCAUUUGGCAGAGAGUCACGUCUUAUGCAACUGCACUUUCAUGGGAUUUAAAUGAUGAAAGUUCAAAUGGUGAACAUCAACCCAGUAGAUAAAACUGCCACGUUUUGGAAAUUCAUACACACACACACACACACACACACACACACACACACACUGAGUCUUAACUGUCCUCAGGCUCUCCAUCGUUCAAAAGGUUUUUCUCUCACCUAGUUGGGUGUGGUAUCUUGUAUAAAUGAAAUUUUCCACUUUAGCUCUGAGUUUAUUUCUUUCUCUUUUUUACUGCUACUCUUUGGCAACAAGUAGGGGACAAUUUAAUGCAGAAUCAAGAGGAUGGGAUGCUAAUUCCAGCUCUGCCACUCACUCACUAAUUACCCUGUCCCUCCAUUUUCUCAUAUGCAAUAUGUGGAUACUAGAAGUGCCCUCCUCAUAGGAAUAUUGUGUAAACAUGAUACAUUUCGAAAAGUGCCUGGCACAUGGUAUGCUGUUAGUAAAUACUAUGGAUUGGUAUAUAUUAUUAUAUUCUGCUCCACUGGGAUUGUUUUAACACAAGCAUUAUGAGUCCAAAGACUGUCCAGAAGAAUAUCUUUUGAGAUGAAUUAGGAUGGUAAGUAUAAGGAUGCUGCUGCUGACCCACCCAGAUCUCCUUUGC
rnacentral:lncRNA from 12 species